rnacentral:rRNA from 1 species
CGAGUAGGCGGAUUUGUAAGUCAGUAGUGAAAUACCACGGCUCAACUGUGGAGGUGCUAUUGAAACUGUAAAUCUUGAGUGAUGGAGAGGCAGACGGAAUUCCCAGUGUAGCAGUGAAAUGCGUAGAGAUUGGGAGGAACACCGGUGGCGAAGGCGGUCUGCUGGACAUUAACUGACGCUGAGGAGCGAAAGCGUGGGGGAGCAAACCA